UUGACAUAGACAGUACAUCCUCUUUGACGUAAGACCGCUUCCAUGACUCUUCCCCCCAGGGUGACUUGCAAGCCUUCCAGUCAAUGCUGCCUGCAUCCUACCCUCCCAUAGCAGAGGGCCAUAUCUACUAAGCAUGCUGCAGCAGCACCAGCCGCGGUGGCAGAAGGGGCUUUGCCUUCACCCUAAUUGGCUGGGUAAUCUGGGAUGCCAGAGCGAGAGCUAAGCCUGCUCAGGAGACUGGGGGAUGGGGCACAGAGGACAGGGAUGGAGGGGGACGCUGGAGAGAGGCUGGAGCGUGAUUCCUCCAUGGCUCCUCCUUUAUAAGGGCUGGAUCUGACCAGAAAGGCAAGAUGGCAGGAUUACGCCGCGCUCCAGACUCCGAAGUCAGAAGAUCCCCUUGUAAGAACUCAUCACCAAGCUCGGGACCCUGGGACUGAACACUUCCCUCUGCAAUUGGAUCCUGGACUUCCUGACGGGCCGGCCCCAGGUGGUGAGGGUAAGCAACAACACCUCCACCACACUGACCCCUCUACAUGGGGGCCCCUCGGGAUGUGUGCUUAGUCACCUCCCUGUUUACCCACGACUGUGUGGCCACGCACGACUCCAACACCUUCAUCAAGUUUGCUGAGAACAUGACGGUGGUAGGCUUGACCACCAAUGGCGAUUAGACAGCCUACAGGGAGGAGGUCAGAAAUGUCCACAUCAGUAAGGACUUAACAUGGUCCACAGACAGACACACAUUCGUGAACAGGGCAUGACAGUGCCGCUUCACCUCAGGAGGCUGCAAAGAGAUCUUGACUGGCUGCCUCACCACUAGGUAUGGCAAAUGCAUCAUUCUCGACCGCAAAGCACUACAGAGGGUGGUUCGGACAGCCCAGUAAAUCACCAAGGCCGAGCUCCCAGCCAUCCAGGACUUCUAUAUCAGGCGGCGAGGAAGGCCUGAAAAAUUGCCAAAGAUUUCAGCCACCCAAGCCAUAGACUGUUCACUCUGCUACGGUUCGAGAAAACGAUACCGGAGCAUCGGCUCUCGGACCAACAGACUCCGAGAUAGCGUCUACCCGCAAGCCAUAAGACUGCUAAAUAGCCAUUAAACUGCUAAAUAAUUAAUGAAUUAGUUACACAGACUAUCUGCAUUGAUCCUGUCUUGCACUGACUCUAUGCACACUAACAAGACUUUGUACAGUGCUUUCUGACAGUAUUCACGCCGUUUGACUUCUUCCACCUUUUGUUGUGUUACAAAGUGGGAUUAAAAUGGAAUUAAAUGUCAUUUUUUUGUUAAAGAUCUACACAAAGUACUUGAAUGUCAAAGUGGAAGACCAAUAUGAGAAAUAAAACACUUAUCUUGAUUCGAUAAGUAUUCAACCCGUUGACUGAAUACAUGUUAGAAUCACCUUUGGCAGCGAGUACGACUGUGAGUGUUUCUGGGUAAGUCUCUAAGAGCUUUGCACACCUGGAUUGUACAAUAUUUGCCUGUUAUUCUUUUGACAAUUCCUCAAGCUCUGAUAAAUUGGUUGUUGAUCAUUACUAGACAAUCACUGGGUGUAUUGAUACACCAUCCAAAGUGUAAUUAAUAACUUCACCAUGCUCAAAGGGAUAUUCAAUGUCUGCUUUUUUAUUUGUACCCAUCUACCAAUAGGUGCCCUACUUUGCGAGGCAUUGGAAAACCUUUGUGUCUUUGUGGUUGAAUCUGUGUUUGAAAUUCACUGCUCGACUGAGGGACCUUACAGAUAAUUGUAUGUGUGGGGAACAGAGAUGAGGAAGUCAUACAAAAAUGAUGUUAAACACUAUUGCACACAUUGUGAGUCCAUUAUAAAUUCAGACUGUAACACAACAAAA